rnacentral:lncRNA from 1 species
CCUAGGCUCAGCCUUCACUAUUGUGUCCCUGGUGCCUAGAACAGAGCCUGGUACACAGAAGGUGCUCAAUGAAUGGUGAGUGAAUAAAUGGAGGAGGCUGAGAAGAAGGAGAGGUUCCUCAUUAGCUGGACUGGUGACCUUAGAUGAGGAAACUGAGGCCCAAAAGAGCUAAGUGCAUCUGCUCCAGGUCACAUGAAAGGACGAG